GGGGACGUUUUGGAUUAGACAGGAUGUUCGGUGAAUGCAGGCUGCGAGUCCGGGCGCUGUUCCCGGUUAUCAACGAGCAAACUAAAUUAAAUGCUAACAACGUAAUUAAAGCUGACUUCUCUAGAGCAUAUGCUUUAGCUGCAUAGUCGGUAAUUAGCUACUUAUAUUGCCCAGCUUGCCGGUGAUAUAGGUCCAUUAUGCAAGACGCAGUGCGUUGAUGAUGGUAGGCGUAUCAAGAUAACCAUCAAGGGUUUAGAGUUUCCCUAAAAUAAAACCUGGGGCUGAUUUAUAAGGUUUUGGUUUUCCCCCGAAUCAGCCGAGAGAAUGAAAAUCUACACUCGUAGAGGUUUGUCUUUAUCCAUUUUGGACAGGGGUUCGACUCCCCUCGUCUCCAGUU
rfam:Brachyspira sp. CAG:484 genomic scaffold, scf16